GUGCCAGCAGCCGCGGUAAUACCGGCAGCACGAGUGAUGGCCGAUUUUAUUGGGCCUAAAGCGUCCGUAGCUGGCCGUACAAGUCCGUCGGGAAAUCCACCAGCUCAACUGGUGGGCGUCCGGCGGUAACUGUUCGGCUUGGAGCCGGAAGACCCAAGGGGUACGUCCGGGGUAAGAGUGAAAUCCCGUAAUCCCGGACGGACCGCCGAUGGCGAAAGCACCUUGGGAAGACGGACUCGACAGUGAGGGACGAAAGCUGGGGUCUCGAACCGGAUUAGAAACCCCUGUAGUCC
rnacentral:rRNA from 1 species